UACGUAGGGGGCAAGCGUUGUCCGGAAUUAUUGGGCGUAAAGAGCGUGUAGGCGGCUCGGUAAGUCCGCUGUAAAAGUCAAAGGCUCAACCUUUGAAUGUCAGUGGAUACUGCCGGGCUAGAGUCCGGAAGAGGCGAGUGGAACUCCUGGUGUAGCGGUGGAAUGCGCAGAUAUCAGGAAGAACACCAACGGCGAAGGCAGCUCGCUGGGACGGUACUGACGCUGGAGACGCGAAAGCGUGGGGGAGCGAACAGG
rnacentral:rRNA from 1 species